CCUGUUAACUAACUAGUUUAGUUAUAAUGGAAAGUUGGUGGGGCAUGUAAUAGUGAUCUUGGGAAUUAAUGGGACGCAUGAAAUUCCAUUGGGGAAAGGGAGCCGGUGGUAAAAAAAAAAAAAAAAGAAGAGGAAAGAGAUGAGGAGUGAAAGGGUCGGGGGGGAAGACACAAAAAAGAAAAAAAAAGAAAUUUCUGCAAAAAUCUUUACUUCAUUCGGCUUGGGAGAGGAAGGGUGAGCUGCUGGCAUGCGGCUUUGAGGUCCGGCUUUUUCCAGCAAAAACUGCUAAGGGAGACGGGCGAAGCAACAACAAGAAAGGGAAGGGGCUCGCAUAAAGCUAGGCUCGGUUUGGAAAUCUCGGUGGUUACCAUUUGUGGAGUCUUCGACAAGGGACCUAGCCAACCUACGGCUAUCUUGUGAGCCUAUUCCUUUUGUAUUUAAUUUGUGAUCUGUGUUCAUCGGGGCGAAGGCUGAAUGUGUCAUUUUAUUUUACGUACAGUUUUAUUUUGUAAUCAAUCUACUAAAUUCUCAAUCAGUAUCUUUCGUAUUUAAAUAAGUUCAAACGAAAAUUAAAUUUUUGGAUUGGGGAAAA